GAUGAACGCUGGCGGCGUGCCUAAUACAUGCAAGUCGAGCGAACAGACGAGGAGCUUGCUCCUCUGACGUUAGCGGCGGACGGGUGAGUAACACGUGGAUAACCUACCUAUAAGACUGGGAUAACUUCGGGAAACCGGAUCUAAUACCGGAUAAUAUAUUGAACCGCAUGGUUCAAUAGUGAAAGACGGUUUUGCUGUCACUUAUAGAUGGAUCCGCGUCGCAUUAGCUAGUUGGUAAGGUAACGGCUUACCAAGGCAACGAUGCGUAGCCGACCUGAGAGGGUGAUCGGCCACACUGGAACUGAGACACGGUCCAGACUCCUACGGGAGGCAGCAGUAGGGAAUCUUCCGCAAUGGGCGAAAGCCUGACGGAGCAACGCCGCGUGAGUGAUGAAGGUCUUCGGAUCGUAAAACUCUGUUAUUAGGGAAGAACAAAUGUGUAAGUAACUAUGCACGUCUUGACGGUACCUAAUCAGAAAGCCACGGCUAACUACGUG
rnacentral:rRNA from 1 species